rnacentral:snoRNA from 14 species
GAGUUGUGAUGACUUACUUAGGACACCUUUGGAGGGUUUCGGUCCGCUGAAAAGAAAAAUAGUACGCC